GCCCCACUAGUCUGGGAUACCACUUGGAAACAGGUGCUAAUACCGGAUAAGAAAGCGGAUCGCAUGAUCAGCUUUUAAAGGGCGGCGUAAGCUGUCGCUAUGGGAUGGCCCCGCGGUGCAUUAGCUAGUUGGUAAGGUAAAGGCUUACCAAGGCGAUGAUGCAUAGCCGAGUUGAGAGACUGAUCGGCCACAUUGGGACUGAGACACGGCCCAAACUCCUACGGGAGGCAGCAGAG
rnacentral:rRNA from 1 species